rnacentral:rRNA from 1 species
AGAGUUUGAUCCUGGCUCAGAGCGAACGCUGGCGGCAUGCUUAACACAUGCAAGUCGCACGGUCAGCAAUGGCAGUGGCGGACGGGUGAGUAACGCGUAGGAAUCUAUCCCUGGGUGGGGGACAACUGUGGGAAACUACAGCUAAUACCGCAUGACACCUGAGGGUCAAAGGCGCAAGUCGCCUGGGGAGGAGCCUGCGU